rnacentral:RNase_P_RNA from 1 species
GGAGUAGGCGAGGUGGUUGCUCCUCCUUCGCGUAAGGCGAAGAGAGGGGAGGAAAGUCCGAACUCCAAAGGGCGGGAUGGUCGCUAACGGCGACUCCGAGCGAUCGGAGGAAAGUGCCACAGAAAACAACCGCCCCGUUGGGUAGCUUGCCUAUCUCCCGGGGUAAGGGUGAAAAGGUGAGGUAAGAGCUCACCGUCUUGAUGGUGACAUCAAGAGCUCGGUAAACCCCAUCCGGAGCAAGACCGAAUAUGCCCCGUUUUGGGAUGGCCCGUCCCAGGGGGCGGGUAGGUCGCUAUGCUCCUCUCUGAGAGGCUAGAUAAAUAACCACCCCUGCCGGCUCAUCAGGCUGAACAGGGACAGAAUUCGGCUUACGACCUGCUCCAGCC